rnacentral:tRNA from 1 species
GCAUCUAUGGCUGAGUGGUCGAUAGCAGAGUCCUCAUAAGACUUUUCCUUGUGACGUCGUUGGUUCGAACCCAACUAGAUGCA